CGGCAAUAGCUCAAAUUUGAAAUCUGGCUCUUUCAGGGUCCGAGUUGUAAUUUGCAGAGGAUGCUUCGGCUUCGGCACCGGUCUAAGUUCCUUGGAACAGGACGUCACAGAGGGUGAGAAUCCCGUAUGUGGUCGGUACCCCCGCCAUGUGAAGCUCCUUCGAC
rnacentral:rRNA from 1 species